AGGGGCAUAGUUUAAAGGUAGAACAACGGUCUCCAAAACCGUUGGUGUGGGUUCAAUUCCCUGCUGCCCCUGCCA
rnacentral:tRNA from 1 species